AAGUGCGAUAUAUAGUGCGAUCUGCAUGAAUCUGUGAGUCAUCUAGUAUUUGAACGCAACUUGCGCCGUAUGUAUGGCAUGUUCCAUCGAGUACCUGGAAAGUAGUAUGGCUUUGUAGUAAUGCAAAGACAUGAUAUGGCUUAUGUCUGUGCGGUGGUACAGACUGCGCUGAAAUGGAGCAAGUGAAGGGUGAGGGUGUUCUCACGUGUGCUAGAGACUUAAGUGUUUUGUCACGCGGGGGCAGUCGUCUACUCUGAACAACCAAUCAAACAAACUGGUCUCGGUGGAGCAAGAUUACCCGCUGAACUUAA
rnacentral:misc_RNA from 1 species